rnacentral:rRNA from 1 species
GAUGAACGCUAGCUACAGGCUUAACACAUGCAAGUCGAGGGGAAACGAUGGGAGGGCUUGCCCUCCCAGGCGUCGACCGGCGCACGGGUGAGUAACACGUAUCCAACCUGCCCUCUUCCGGGGAACAACCUUGCGAAAGUAAGACUAAUGCCCCAUGUGUCCUCAGACGGCAUCAGACAAGGACGAAAGAUUUAUCGGAAGUGGAUGGGGAUGCGCCUGAUUAGGCAGUUGGCGGGGCAACGGCCCACCAAGCCGACGAUCAGUAGGGGUUCUGAGAGGAAGGUCCCCCACAUUGGAACUGAGACACGGUCCAAACUCCUACGGGAGGCAGCAGUGAGGAAUAUUGGUCAAUGGGCGGGAGCCUGAACCAGCCAAGUAGCGUGCAGGAUGACGGCCCUAUGGGUUGUAAACUGCUUUUGCGCGGGGAUAAAGUGCGCCACGUGUGGCGCAUUGCAGGUACCG